rnacentral:rRNA from 1 species
AUUGAACGCUGGCGGCAUGCCUAACACAUGCAAGUCGAACGGCAGCACGGCAGUAGCAAUACUGUGGGUGGCGAGUGGCGGACGGGUGAGGAAUACGUCGGAAUCUGCCCAAUCGUGGGGGAUAACUAACCGAAAGGUUAGCUAAUACCGCAUACGACCGAGAGGUGAAAGCGGGGGACCGCAAGGCCUCGCGCGAUUGGAUGAGCCGACGUCGGAUUAGCUUGUUGGUGGGGUAAAGGCCUACCAAGGCAACGAUCCAUAGCCGGUUUGAGAGGAUGAUCAGCCACACUGGGACUGAGACACGGCCCAGACUCCUACGGGAGGCAGCAGUGGGGAAUCUUAGACAAUGGGGGAAACCCUGAUCUAGCCAUGCCGCGUGAUCGAUGAAGGCCUUAGGGUUGUAAAGAUCUUUCAGAUGGGAAGAUAAUGACGGUACCAUCAGAAGAAGCCCCGGCUAACUCCGUGCCAGCAGCCGCGGUAAAGU